UACGAAGGGGGCUAGCGUUGUUCGGAAUUACUGGGCGUAAAGGGCGCGUAGGCGGUCCUGAUCGUCGGAUGUGAAAGGCCUGGGCUCAACCUGGGAACUGCAUCCGAUACGGCGGGACUGGAGUGUGGGAGAGGUUGGUGGAAUUCCCAGUGUAGAGGUGAAAUUCGUAGAUAUUGGGAAGAACACCGGUGGCGAAGGCGGCCAACUGGACCACAACUGACGCUGAGGCGCGAAAGCCAGGGGAGCAAACGGGG
rnacentral:rRNA from 1 species